rnacentral:rRNA from 1 species
UACGGGGGGGAGCAAGCGUUUGUUCGGAUUUACUGGGCGUAAAGGGCGCGUAGGCGGCGUGACAAGUCACUUGUGAAAUCUCCGGGCUUAACUCGGAACGGUCAAGUGAUACUGUCGUGCUAGAGUACAGAAGGGGCAACUGGAAUUCUCGGUGUAGCGGUGAAAUGCGUAGAUAUCGAGAGGAACACCUGCGGCGAAGGCGGGUUGCUGGGCUGAUACUGAGCUGAGGCGCGAAAGCUAGGGGAGCGAACGGG